CUUGUAGAGGGGGGUAGAAUUCCAGGUGUAGCGGUGAAAUGCGUAGAGAUCUGGAGGAAUACCGGUGGCGAAGGCGGCCCCCUGGACAAAGACUGACGCUCAGGUGCGAAAGCGUGGGGAGCAAACAGGAUUAGAUACCCUGGUAGUCCACGCUGUAAACGAUGUCGACUUGGAGGUUGCGGUCUUGAACUGUGGCUUCCGGAGCUAACGCGUUAAGUCGACCGCCUGGGGAGUACGGCCGCAAGGUUAAAACUCAAAUGAAUUGACGGGGGCCCGCACAAGCGGUGGAGCAUGUGGUUUAAUUCGAUGCAACGCGAAGAACCUUACCUACUCUUGACAUCCAGAGAACUUGGCAGAGAUGCCUUGGUGCCUUCGGGAGCUCUGAGACAGGUGCUGCAUGGCUGUCGUCAGCUCGUGUUGUGAAAUGUUGGGUUAAGUCCCGCAACGAGCGCAACCCUUAUCCUUUGUUGCCAGCACGUAAUGGUGGGAACUCAAAGGAGACUGCCGGUGAUAAACCGG
rnacentral:rRNA from 1 species